AUUGAACGCUGGCGGCAGGCCUAACACAUGCAAGUCGAACGAGUGGCGGACGGGUGAGUAAUGUCUGGGAAACUGCCUGAUGGAGGGGGAUAACUACUGGAAACGGUAGCUAAUACCGCAUACCAUCGGAUGUGCCCAGAUGGGAUUAGCUUGUAGGUGGGGUAACGGCUCACCUAGGCGACGAUCCCUAGCUGGUCUGAGAGGUUGACCAGCCACACAGGAACGGAUACACGGUCCAGACUCCUACGGGAGGCAGCAGUGGGGAAGAGUGGACAAUGGGCGAAAGCCUGAUGCAGCAAUGCCGCGUGUAUGAAGAAGGCCUUCGGGUUGUACAGUACUUUCAGCGGGGAGUCGUUACCCGCAGAAGAAGCACCGGCUAACUCCGUGCCAGCAGCCGCGGUAAUAC
rnacentral:rRNA from 1 species